rnacentral:rRNA from 1 species
GAGAAGCGAACCUGCGAAGGCAAGCGGAUCUCUUAAAGCCGUUCUCAGUUCGGACUGUAGGCUGCAACUCGCCUACACGAAGCUGGAAUCGCUAGUAAUCGCGGAUCAGCACGCCGCGGUGAAUACGUUCCCGGGCCUUGUACACACCGCCCGUCACACCAUGAGAGUCUGUAACACCCAAAGCCGGUGGGAUAACCUUUAUAGGAGUCAGCCGUCUAAGGUAGGACAGAUGAUUAGGGUGAAGUCGUAACAAGGUACC